UACGGAGGGGGCUAGCGUUGUUCGGAAUCAUUGGGCGUAAAGCGCGUUAAGGCGGUUGGCAAAGUUGGUUGUGAAAUCUCAGGGCUCAACCCUGAAAUUGCGACCAAUACUGGUCGACUAGAGUGUGAGAGAGGAAGGUGGAAUUCCCGGUGUAGUAGUGAAAUGCGUAGAUAUCGGGAGGAACACCAGUGGCGAAGGCGGCUACCUGGCACAUAACUGACGCUGAUACGCGAAAGCGUGGGGAGCGAACCGG
rnacentral:rRNA from 1 species